UUGAGUUGCUUCAUGCUAUUUUCCGGAUAUCAUAUUCUGAUGUUAUAUUUAAAAAACUCAUUGAUAGGCAAACUUUUGGCUUGCUUCAUCAUUUCCCCCCAUCAUAUUCUGAUGAUAUUUUCAAUUCGUCAUUCAUAAUUUGUAUAUAAAUACUCAUUGUGAAAAUGUCAUUGAUGCAGGACCUACCAUCUAAACUUGCCAAGUUUGUCAGAAGAUUUAGAAGAACAACCUUGACUGUUCCUGCCUUAUUAAGGGUUAAAUGUAAACUGUUGUUUUGGAAUGAGACUAAAAGAAC
rnacentral:lncRNA from 1 species